GACGAACGCUGGCGGCGUGCUUAACACAUGCAAGUCGAACGGUGAAGCACCUUCCUUUUGGUGGGUGUGGAUGAGUGGCGAACGGGUGAGUAACACGUGAGUAACCUGCCCCCUUCUUCUGGAUAACCGCAUGAAAGUGUGUCUAAUACGGGAUAUUCUGUGCCUGCUGCAUGGUGGGUGUGGGAAAGAUGCGCUUUUGGGUGUUUUUGGUGGGGGAUGGGCUCGCGGCCUAUCAGCUUGUGGGUGGGGUGAUGGCCUACCAAGGCGGUGACGGGUAGCCGGACGGGGCGGGUGGUCGGUCACACUGGGACUGGGACACGGCCCAGGCUCCUACGGGAGGCAGCAGUGGGGAAUAUUGCACAGUGGGCGCAAGCCUGAUGCAGCGACGCCGCGUGAGGGAUGGAGGCGUUCGGGUUGUAAACCUCUUUCGCCAGUGAAGCAGGCCUGUUCCUUGUGGGUGGGUUGACGGUAGCUGGAUAAGAAGCGCCGGCUAACUACGUG
rnacentral:rRNA from 1 species